rnacentral:sRNA from 1 species
ACUGGGCGUGGUGGCGCACGCCUGUAAUCCCAGUGGCUCAGGAGGCUAAGACGGGAGGAUCGUGAGUUCAAAGCCAGCCUCAGCAAAAGCGAGGCACUAAGCAACUCAGUGAGACCCUGUCUCUA